UACGAAGGGGAGGCUAGCGUUGUUCGGAAUCACUGGGCGUAAAGCGCACGUAGGCGGAUCUUUAAGUCAGGGGUGAAAUCCCGAGGCUCAACCUCGGAACUGCCUUUGAUACUGGGGAUCUCGAGUCCGGGAGAGGUGAGUGGAACUGCGAGUGUAGAGGUGAAAUUCGUAGAUAUUCGCAAGAACACCAGUGGCGAAGGCGGCGAUCUGGGAAGAUACUGACGCUGAGGUGCGAAAGCGUGGGGAGCAACAGGG
rnacentral:rRNA from 1 species